rnacentral:rRNA from 1 species
UACAGGGGGUGCAAACGUUGCUCGGAAUUAUUGGGCGUAAAGCGCGCGUAGGCGGCUACCUAAGUCGGAUGUGAAAGCCCCUGGCUUAACUGGGGAAGUGCACCCGAAACUGGGUAGCUAGAGUGCAAAAGAGGGUCGCGGAAUUCCCAGUGUAGAGGUGAAAUUCGUAGAUAUUGGGAGGAACACCGGUGGCGAAGGCGGCGACCUGGGUUGACACUGACGCUGAGGCGCGAAAGCGUGGGGAGCAAACAG